AAUGAACGUUGGCGGCAUGGAUUAGGCAUGCAAGUCGCGCGAGAAGUUUUUCUUCGGAGAGACGGACAGCGGCGCAAGGGAGAGUAACGCGUGGAUACCUGCCCUGGGGUCCGGGAUAGCUGCGGGAAACUGCAAGUAAUACCGGAUGACAUCCCUGGAUCAAAGGUGCGAUUCCGCCCUAGGAUGGGUCCGCGUCCUAUUAGCUUGUUGGUAAGGUAAUGGCUUACCAAGGCAAAGAUGGGUACCGGGUGUGAGAGCAUGGCCCGGCUCACUGGGACUGAGACACUGCCCAGACACCUACGGGUGGCUGCAGUCGAGAAUCUUCGGCAAUGGACGCAAGUCUGACCGAGCAAUGCCGCGUGCGGGAUGAAGGCCUUCGGGUUGUAAACCGCUGUCAGAGGGGAUGAAAUGCAUGAGGGUACUCUCUCAUGUUUGACAUAGCCUCAGAGGAAGUACGGGCUAAGUUCGUGCCAGCAGCCGCGGUAAGACGAACCGUACAAACGUUAUUCGGAAUCACUGGGCUUAAAGGGUGCGUAGGCGGUCAAGAAAGUUGGGUGUGAAAUCCCUCGGCUCAACCGAGGAAUUGCGCUCAAAACU
rnacentral:rRNA from 1 species